rnacentral:rRNA from 1 species
AUUGAACGCUAGCGGGAUGCUUUACACAUGCAAGUCGAACGCAGUGGGGACGGGUGAGUAACACGUGGGUAACCUCCCAUCAGAGGGGAUAACACUUGGAAACAGGUGCUAAACCGAUACUGAUGGAUGGACCCGCGGUGCAUUAGCUAGUUGGUGAGGUAACUGCUCACCAAGGCCACGAUGCAUAGCCGACCUGAGAGGUUGAUCGGCCACACUGGGACUGAGACACGGCCCAGACUCCUACGGGAGGCAGCAGUAGGGAAUCUUCGGCAAUGGACGAAAGUCUGACCGAGCAACGCCGCGUGAGUGAAGAAGGUUUUCGGAUCGUAAAACUCUGUUGUUAGAGAAGCGGUAUCUAACCAGAAAGCCACGGCUAACUACGUGCCAGCAGCCGCGGUAAUAC